AAUACAAAAAAAUUAGCCAGACGUGGUGGCGGAUGCCUGUAGUCCCAGGUACUCGAGAGGCUGAGGCAGGAGAAUGUCAUGAACCCAGGAGGCGGAGCUUGUAGUGAGCUGAGAUUGCGCCACUGCACUCCAGCCUGGGCGACAGAUGAGACUCCAACUCAAAAAAAAAAAAAAGGGAUGGCUGACUUUCUUGUUAGGGGUUAACACAGCCGGUUCCUUUAUUUUUUUAUUUUUUAUUUUUCUGAGAUAGGGUCUCACUCUGUCACACAGGCUGGAGUGCAGCGGCACAAUCUCAGCUCACUGCAACUUCUGCCUCAUGGGUUCAAGUGAUUCUCAUGCCUCAAGUAGCUGGGAUUACAGGCACAUGUCACCAUGCCCAGCUGAUUUUUUUUUUUUUUGUAUUUUUAGCAGAGAUAGGGUUUCACCAUGCUGGCCAGGCUGGUCUCAAGCUCCUGACUUCAA
rnacentral:lncRNA from 1 species